CCCAACUAUCCCCAAAAGGGGUCCAGCGCCCCAACAGAAGGGAUGUUAAAUCCGUUGUACCCAAAGCUCGAACCCGGGUAAAUCCGUUGUACCCAAGGCUCGAACCCGGGUGGCGGGCAGUACAACUGUACUUCCUUUACCACCAAGCUACGAACGCUUGGUUAAAAUUGUAUAGGUUAAAUUUUUUAUAGUGACUGGGCUCACCCCGAAGGGCCACCUCGCCAUAAAUCCCCGUAGAGAUUUUUUAGGUAACCCAGUACCACCCCGCUGUCCCCGAGUAUCGAACUGACGAACUCGGGUAGUCGUGUGUGAGAAACAUUCAGUACUGCCGCUAAGCCACGUGGUGGUGGUCCAUAUUGAAUUGUGGAUAUUAAAAACGAUUUCCAAAACGAUAAGAGUUGUUCUUGAUCAACUUGAUUAACGAUUGGGAGACCGAGUGAAUCACAAUUGAUUCAAUUCCACGGUUGAGGGCGAAGAUCAUGGCAUGUCGAACAGCCAAAGCUUCGGCCAUUAGGGGCGAUGAGACAAAUGUCUCCGUCGCUGAGUGUUGUGUCGAUGAAAUCAGAUCAUCAAUGACCCAACCAAAUCCUGCACAGCUAGUAGAAGGAUUCCAGGCAGCGUCUGUGAAGACAGAGGAAUGGGCUUGACGAUGAGGAUUUGGUUCGAUGUUGAUCAUCGGAGUACGGGGGAGAGCAAUUUUGAUCUGAUCCUGGGCGAGUGUCCUGUCCAUUCUCUAGCGUCUGAGAGGGCUUUUGUUUUGUCAGGGUUUCCUUCUGGUGUUGGAAGAUGAGUUGAUUUCUCGAGAGCCAGAUGGACCAGACAAUCCAAGUUGAGAUCGUUCCUGCCGCUAGGCCCACCGGUGGGAGAGAUGGGAUCAAGUCCUGCAAGUGUAGUCUCAACCAGAUUUGCGUGAAAAGGAGAAGUAAAGGGUGCGAGAUUCCAAACUCUUGUAGCGUAUGAACAGGUAGUGCGUAAGAUCUUUAGUUUUUGGGAGACCUUGAGAUUCCAGACGUUCGCAAGCCAGUCAAUCGAGGCGUCUGGAGCCAUUGGAGGUAUCAGGGGCUGCUCUUCCGUCAUGGUGAGGUAACCAGAGCGUGUUGAGUAAAUUCCCGAAGGUUUUAACGACUUUUCCAUUUGUUCUUUUUGUAGAAUGAGUUAUAUAAUUUGUUAAGACAGCAUUGUUUCUACAGCCACAGUUGUUACCAAAUCUCUCAAGUUAAUUCGUUCGAUCUUUCCAUCUGGAGAAAGAAUAUUUUGACUAUGAAGGCAAUUAUUCCAGCGGCAGUUGAAGACAAAACAUCACUAUCAAUUUCUGUGCCGAAGAUCGCUUUGACAGCAAGAUGGCCUUUCUCAUAUUACGUGCGUUCUUUUGCUUGACUAUCAAGGUCAAACAAAUAUUAGUUUAAGAGGAUAUGAUGUAAGAGAUAGACAUAUAAGUAUUGUUUCUUACUAUAAGUAUCGCAACCAUCACAGCCGCCUGUUCAAUAAAAAUUUAAAAUCAGCUGA